rfam:Otolemur garnettii contig154026, whole genome shotgun sequence.
GCCAGGCGUUGUGGCGGGCGCCUGUGGUCCCAGCUACUUGGGAGGCGGAGGCAGGAGACUCGCUUGAGCCCAGGAGUUGGAGGUUGCUGUGAGCUGUGAUGCCACGGCACUUUACCCAGGGGAUAGCUUGAGCCUCUGUCUCAAAAAAAAAAAAAAAAUGGUAGAUGCUAACUAUGUUAUCACACAUGGUAUUUUUUUUUUUGAGACAGAGCCUCAAGCUAUCCCCCUGGGUAGAGUGCUGUGGCAUCACACCUCACAGCAACCUCCAACUCCUGGGCUCAAGCAAGUCUCCUGCCUCAG